rnacentral:snoRNA from 1 species
CAGCAUGUUCCCAAGGUCUCUGGCUGUUAGUAACCAAGGAAUCUCCAACUACAUACAAGAGCAACCUGGGGGGAUUUUGACAGCCCAGGUCAGCAGAGUACCUGCAGCUGCCACUUAACUUUCUUUAAAUG